rnacentral:rRNA from 1 species
UACGGAGGGUGCAAGCGUUGUCCGGAAUCACUGGGCGUAAAGGGCGCGUAGGCGGCUCGGUAAGUAGGGGGUGAAAUCCUGCGGCUUAACCGCAGGGCUGCCUUCUAAACUGUCGAGCUUGAGCACGGUAGAGGCAGAUGGAAUUCCCGGUGUAGCGGUGAAAUGUGUAGAGAUCGGGAGGAACACCGGUGGCGAAGGCGGGUCUCUGGGCAAUUCCUGACGCUGAGGCGCGAAAGCGUGGGGAGCAAACGGG